AAGAUGAGUGCUCUCC
rnacentral:rRNA from 1 species